ACAUGCAUGUGUUUGUAUCAUAGUGUUUGAGAAAACUAAAAACUUGUUUAUUUUGGGUUAUAUUCUCCCGGUUUACUUGAUUUACAUCUAACGGAAUGCGAUCUUCUUAGAAGGCUUCUCUUCUGAGAAGAGUGCAAAUCGAGUGGGGCUCUGGCUACGGAGCAGAGACCAGUCACCUUCAACACAAGAAGAUAGUCAUAUGCCUACGUCAGAGCAUGCAGUAAUCAGAACAAAUCAAGGUGACCUUGACACGGACGUGCUGACUGAGUACAUCCAGGAGAUGUCACCCCUGUACCAUGGUUUAGAGGGACGCAUCAAGUUUGUAAACGGAACUGGAGCUGAGAAUUGUGUUGGAGCGGGAUUCGUCACUCCUCCCUCCAGUUCCCUUAUACUUGUUUCUGUUUUCCUUUUGAUUAGAGUGUUAACCGGAUUCAGCUAAGAUUAACUUUCUAAAUUGGUGUAUCUACGUUUCAAUAGAACGUGAUGACUCGUAAUGUUUGCCAAGACAAUCACAUGAUUUUUUUAUAGACGUUUAAUCGGGAAGCAUAAUCCUUUAAGUGUCCAGGAAAUAGACAUCAGGUGGCUUGCUUACUAUUUUGAUGCUUGUGUUAGAAAUACUCAUAUUUGGCGUUUUGUAUACAAUCUGGCUAAUAAGAGUUGGUUCAAGCUUGAUGUUGGAUUCUUAGUAAUAUAUCAAUAUUGUUUACACUUUAAACCUCUUGUUUGGUGUACGACCAGAAACUGUCACUUGAUAGUGUGUCAACCUGACAGUUGUGUUGAAAAUAAUGAUUAUAGAUGAAGUUAAAAUUGAUCCUUUUAAAUUAAUUGGCAUAUAAUGAAGCCCAUUGCUGUUUCACUUAAUCAGCAUUUGCCUAAAAAUGCAUGUAUGCAUGGAAUAGCGUUAGUUUUAAGAAGAAAGUUAAAAUACAGUCACUAUACAGGCCAGAAAAUAAGUGAUUGGCUUAAAAUACCUGCUCUCUGGAACCAAGUAUGAGGAAAUGCAAUGAUGCAUUUUUAAACUAAAAUUAAAACUAAACGUUCACGUUAUAGAGUAAUGAAACAAAGCACACUAUUUAGGACCGUGGCUGACAAGAUGGGCCCAGAGGAGAGAAAAUCACAUUUAUAUUUUUUUCGCAUUUGUUUAUACUUCUUGUUGUGAAUAUCAUGUUUCCACAAUUUUGAAGUCGUGUGAUAAAAUAAAUUGUGAGAUUCUGCUUUGAAUACA